CGGCUUCGAGAAGGGCUUCAGAUUUACUUCCAUGUAUAAACCCCUCAGGCUCCAUUCAAGAUGUGGGUUGUUGGUGGAGAGUUGGUCAGUUAGAGUUUGGAUGGUUGGGAUAGUUUAUAUCGUUUGGAGAGUUUAGAGAGAGAUAGUUGAGAGUGAGGAGAGAAGGACAGGUGAUAAGAUGGAGCCAGCUAGGAAGAGGAGGACUUCCUCUGUGAUUAGAUCACUCCUAAUAAGGUGAGCUGAAUCUCACUCUAUUUCAGACACAUUAGGUUUGCUUAUCAAGAACUGUAUUUUUCAGUUUCUUAUUUGAUUCAAAGGUGAGGUGUUUAUUGUGCUCCGAGGAGUUUGGGUGCAAUAACAGCACCUCCUCCAUGCUGAGGCCUCACCGUGCCUUGCAUGAGAAUAAGGAGGAACCUGGAGCUUCACCCAGCCAAGAGCUGGAUGAAGCCUCGUCUCCAUGACAGCGAAGGACACGCAGCCCUUCAGUAUUGUGGAUGAUUCAGGGCAUUUGUGUCCAAACUGGAUCCUCAUCAUGUUCUCCCUACAAGGCAGGCUCUGCAGGCCGUGGUGGAGGCUGAGUAGGAGUCAGCUAAGGAGAAGGCUAAAGUGGAAAAGGUGGCUGCUGUUAGCCUUACUUCUGACAUGUGGACAUCCAUCAG